rnacentral:rRNA from 1 species
AUUGAACGCUGGCGGCAUGCUUUACACAUGCAAGUCGAGCGGUAACAGGCCUUCGGGUGCUGACGAGUGGCGAACGGGUGAGUAAUGCAUCGGAACGUACCCAGAGGUGGGGGAUAACGCAGCGAAAGCUGUGCUAAUACCGCAUGUGAUCUGAGGAUGAAAGCGGGGGACCGAGCAGCAAUGUUUGGCCUCGCGCCUUUGGAGCGGCCGAUGUCGGAUUAGCUAGUUGGUGGGGUAAAGGCCUACCAAGGCGACGACCCGUAGCUGGUCUGAGAGGACGACCAGCCACACUGGGACUGGGACACGGCCCAGACUCCUACGGGAGGCAGCAGUGGGGAAUUUUGGACAAUGGGCGCAAGCCUGAUCCAGCAAUGCCGCGUGCGGGAAGAAGGCCUUCGGGUUGUAAACCGCUUUUGGCAGGAACGAAACGGUGUCCGCUAAUACCGGGCGCUAAUGACGGUACCUGCAGAAUAAGCACCGGCUAACUACGUG